AGGGCAAUAGUUUCAAUGGUAGAACAUCGGUCUCCAAAACCGAGAGUGGGGGUUCAAAUCCCUCUUGCCCUG
rnacentral:tRNA from 1 species